GAAACGAGUUAUCUGAACCUUCGGGGAACGAUAACGGCGUCGAGCGGCGGACGGGUGAGUAAUGCCUAGGAAAUUGCCCUGAUGUGGGGGAUAACCAUUGGAAACGAUGGCUAAUACCGCAUGAUGCCUACGGGCCAAAGAGGGGGACCUUCGGGCCUCUCGCGUCAGGAUAUGCCUAGGUGGGAUUAGCUAGUUGGUGAGGUAAGGGCUCACCAAGGCGACGAUCCCUAGCUGGUCUGAGAGGAUGAUCAGCCACACUGGAACUGAGACACGGUCCAGACUCCUACGGGAGGCAGCAGUGGGGAAUAUUGCACAAUGGGCGCAAGCCUGAUGCAGCCAUGCCGCGUGUGUGAAGAAGGCCUUCGGGUUGUAAAGCACUUUCAGUCGUGAGGAAGGUGGUGUAGUUAAUAGCUGCAUCAUUUGACGUUAGCGACAGAAGAAGCACCGGCUAACUCCGUGCCAGCAGCCGCGGUAAUACGGAGGGUGCGAGCGUUAAUCGGAAUUACUGGGCGUAAAGCGCAUGCAGGUGGUUUGUUAAGUCAGAUGUGAAAGCCCGGGGCUCAACCUCGGAAUAGCAUUUGAAACUGGCAGACUAGAGUACUGUAGAGGGGGGUAGAAUUUCAGGUGUAGCGGUGAAAUGCGUAGAGAUCUGAAGGAAUACCGGUGGCGAAGGCGGCCCCCUGGACAGAUACUGACACUCAGAUGCGAAAGCGUGGGGAGCAAACAGGAUUAGAUACCCUGGUAGUCCACGCCGUAAACGAUGUCUACUUGGAGGUUGUGGCCUUGAGCCGUGGCUUUCGGAGCUAACGCGUUAAGUAGACCGCCUGGGGAGUACGGUCGCAAGAUUAAAACUCAAAUGAAUUGACGGGGGCCCGCACAAGCGGUGGAGCAUGUGGUUUAAUUCGAUGCAACGCGAAGAACCUUACCUACUCUUGACAUCCAGAGAACUUUCCAGAGAUGGAUUGGUGCCUUCGGGAACUCUGAGACAGGUGCUGCAUGGCUGUCGUCAGCUCGUGUUGUGAAAUGUUGGGUUAAGUCCCGCAACGAGCGCAACCCUUAUCCUUGUUUGCCAGCGAGUAAUGUCGGGAACUCCAGGGAGACUGCCGGUGAUAAACCGGAGGAAGGUGGGGACGACGUCAAGUCAUCAUGGCCCUUACGAGUAGGGCUACACACGUGCUACAAUGGCGCAUACAGAGGGCGGCCAACUUGCGAAAGUGAGCGAAUCCCAAAAAGUGCGUCGUAGUCCGGAUUGGAGUCUGCAACUCGACUCCAUGAAGUCGGAAUCGCUAGUAAUCGUGGAUCAGAAUGCCACGGUGAA
rnacentral:rRNA from 1 species